rnacentral:tRNA from 1 species
GCCCGGUUGGUGGAACUUGGUCAGACACGCGGCGCUCAAACCGCCGUGCCCUUUGGGGCAUGUGGGUUCGAAUCCCACACCGGGCACCU